CAGACCAGAUACAACAACCUGACUAAAGAGAGAGACCAGAUACAGACCAGAUACAACAACCUGACUAAAGAGAGAGACCAGAUACAGACCAGAUACAACAUCCUGACUACAGAGAAAGGCCAUAUUCAGGCAAAGCUUUUUGUGAUAGAGCAGCAUUGUCAGGAGGGAUGGAGAUACUUUGACUCCAGUUUGUACUUCCUGUCUACUGAGAAGAAAACCUGGAAGCAGAGCAGAGAGGACUGUAAGGGGAGAGGAGCAGACCUGGUGAUCAUAAACAGUAGAGAGGAACAGACAUUUCUCUUCAACCUCCACCUGAGAGCCUGGAUUGGUCUGACUGACUCUGUUACUGAGGAGAUCUGGAAGUGGGUGGACGGCACAACACUGACCACAGGGUACUGGGGGAAAGGACAGCCUGAUAAUGGUGGUCCGCUCCUUGGGCAGGAGGACUGUGUUGAGAUUUACUAUGGACAAGCUGAUCCUGUACAGACAUGGAAUGAUGACAAAUGUGGCUCAAAUCAUGACUGGAUCUGUGAGAAAGAGGUGUAACAAUAACUCUCUCUCUCUCAGUUAUUAUGUUGAUGGUUGGAUACAGUGCUGAAUGGUUAAGUAAUGAUUCCACCUAUUGGUUAAAGUGAGAGAUGAACAUACCAAAGAGAUUAAAUAGUUGUAUUACAGACUUUAAUGCACCCUUACUUGAUUCCUCCUCACAUCUUCUCUCGUCCCCUCUGUCUCAAAACACAUUGGACAAUAGAAUCCUAGGGGAGGGACCUUGGACCUUCUCCUCUAAUAGGGUUGAGAAGGAGGAGAAGAGAAAGGAGGAGAGGAAUCUAGGAAAGACGAAUUGAGAUAGAGCCUUAGUGUCAGAGAGAGAAAGGGGAGUAAGAAGAAAAUUAAGAGAAUGAGGAAGAGAAAAAAUAAGACAAAUAAUUGUUGUGUUUAGAUUAAGAGGAGAGAAUGUAGACAUACUGUACUCUGUAAAAUGAUUCUUCAUUAUUUUUUAUUAGAAACAUGUCAUGUGAUUUGCCAUAGGCUUAUGCUUAUUAAAAAACAAGUGAGUCCAA